rnacentral:lncRNA from 1 species
GCUGCCUUUGCUAGAGUUAUUUUUAAGUAUUUAUUGUAUAAAAAUCAAAGGUAUGCAACUUUGGUUCCGCUGUUUUUUAUAGGUGGCUUUAGCUGUAAGUAGUGGUCGAAAUAAAUAGAUCAUAAACGUCAUAUAAUAAACUUGGACAUCUGUCAUAUAAGCUCAUGGAAAUAGUAGUUGAUUUGUGUCUGCAACAUAAAUUUAUUCUCGAUAAAAAUGUCAGUUUACGAACCAAAUUCUCGUCAUUUGAGGGAGGUUUUAAUUUUCUACUUCAAUAUGAAGAAAUCUGCUGUUAAAACUCAUCGAAUGCUCUCAAAUACUUAUGAUGAGAAUACUAUAAGUGAAAGAAUGAGUGGUUUCAACGCUUUAAGAACGGUGAUUUUCAUGUCGAAGACUGGCAUAGCGGUGGAAGAGUGAAGGUUUCCAAAGAUGCAGAAUUGGAGGCAUUAUUUAAUGAAGACUCGUGUCAAAGUCCAAAAGAAUUGGCACGAUCAUUGGGAGUGAUUCGAUAAGCAAUUUCAACACGCCUCAAAGCAUGGGAAUGAUUCAGAUGCAAGGAAAUUGGGUGCCGUACGAAUUGAAACCGAGAUGUUUAACGGCGUUUGUUUACUUGUGAACAAUUACAUGAAAGGCAAAGACGAAAGGGAUUUCUGCAUCGCAUUGUGACUGGGGCCGAAAAAUGGAUUCAUUACGAUAACCCCAAAUACAAAAAGGUAAUGCUCUGUAUUUGGUGGGACCAGCUUGGCAUAGUGUAUUAUAAGCUGUUAAAACCGACUGAAACAAUCACAGCAAAUCGUUAUCGAAAGCAAUUAAUGCGUUUGAACCAAGCAUUGAAAGACAAACGGCCAUAAUACGAGAGACACGAUAUAGUAAUUUUGCAACAUGACAAUACUCGACCCCAUGUUGCAAGACAUACUUGGAAACGUUGAAAUGGGAAGUCCUACACCAUCCGCCGUAUUCUUCAGACGUUGCUCCCUCUGACUAUCACUUGUUUCGAUUAAUGGCACAAGGCCUGACUGACCAGCACUUUCAGUCUUAUAAAGAAGUAAAAAAUUGGAUCGACACGUGGGUCGCUUUAUAAAAGAUGACCAGUCUUUUCAACGCGAGAUUGGUACGCUGCCC